UCAGAUGUUUUUGGUUGUUGGUGUUGGAUCCUUUUUUAAGAACAGCUGGAAUACCGAAAGAUCUGUUUAGGUCUGAGGGACUAAAACUUACUUCUGGGAAUGGGGGACUUCAUUCAAGGUGAUUCUGUAACAGCAGUUCCAGGGCUGGAUUUGUUAUUUGUGGGAGUCUUGUGUUUUAAUACGUGUUUUUGCCCUGUAUUUUCAAACUUAAAGAUUGUUUUCCUUAGACAGCCACCUUUUCCUUAGAAAAUAGGAUAACUAAAUACUAAGCUUAACUAAUUACAUCUUCAAAAGUUAGCAAGCUCCAGUUCAAGAGUUAAUGGCAUCGCAAAGUUAAUACAUGGUCACCACAAGCAGGUAUCAAUCUGGUAUUUUCAGGCCAGCACAUACAUGUACAGAACUGGGGAGGUCUCUGCAGUGAACAUGAAAUAGUUCCCUGAAAGCACAAUGCAUUCAAUGUGGCUGAUUUGCCAAGUGCCCAGAAUACAUCACAGUGGAUGACUUGAUUUGAAACAUUAGAAUAGGUGAUAAGAAAGUCAUGCUAUAGAAUCUUUUAUAUAUAUUUCAAACAACUCCUACUUAAAGGAGGGGGGGGAAUCUUUAUAAUUAACAUGACAGAUAAGAGCAGCAGUGGCACUUUAAAUAAAUGCAGUGUAUUUGAUUUUUGAAGUAGAGUUUAAGAUUCUGGGGAUGUGUUCAAGAGAGGAAAAACUAUGUGCUCAGUAUUGAAAAUGAAGAGAUGCUAUAGAUCACCUUUCAAACUGAGCUCCCUCACAGAACUUCUCUGUUCUCAACCUUCAGCAGAGGGCCUCCUAGGAAACAAGUGGGGCUAAUUAAAAGAGAGCUGACAAAAGGGGGGCCCUACAAGGGAAGGUUUAACGGGGGCUUCUUUUCCAUGCCAUUGCCAUGCAAGGAGAAGGCAUCCAAGAUCCAGCUAUGGUGGAAGUGACUCUUGAGGAAUGCCACGUCCUUGCAGAUUUUAAAAUGAAAUGCAGGGCUGAUGAUGGCUUAGGUGUUAGACGUAAUGGACGUUAUGUUAGUCAUUGGAUGGAGACUUAAUAGCCAGUUCAGUGAAGAGUUUCACUUAGUUUUUGGAUGGGUGGUCCUAGGUCCCAUGCUGAGCUAAAUUCUAUGGCUCCUCUAAAGGUAUGUAGGCUAGAGGUGGAUGGCUGUACAGCAGAAAGGGUGAAUGAAUAUUUGCAACCUGCUCUGGUGGAAGGUGUCCCUGCCCAUUUGGAGCUGGAUGAGCUUUAAGGUCCCUUCCAACCCAAACCAGUCUGGGAUUCUCCAAUUUCCCACCAGCACUUUUUCCUGCAGAGCCCAUCACCAGGGUGAAUUAAAAAUUCCAGAUUUCUGGAGCGCACUCUUGUCAUUUCAUAGCUGCUGCUCAGGCAAAGCUGGUAUUAAUUCAGGAAGAGUCUCCCCGAGCAAGAACUCUCCAGAGUCCAAAAUAUUUUGCAGACAGUAAAUACAGGAAUUAUUCACCUACCACAGAACAGCAUCAGCCUCUGGGUGGAAUGCAGGAGCUGGUUAACAGUGCACAGAAACACUUCCCCCCAGGUUUGGACGAGUUGGAGGUUUGUGUGUGCCCAGUUGAAACUGCAACUGAAAGCAAUGGGUCCCUCCCUUGGUCCUGGAGGGGUGAGCACCAGCUACCUGGGUACCUCACCACUUCCUCUGGGAUGCCAGGAGGCUUUUCUGGAGCUCGUCCAUCUGACCCAGUCCUCCACAUGAGAUCUGGCAAGAUAAUCGCUCCAAGUGUCUGGGGAGCAGCACCAGAAGCAUCUGCAGGGUAAGAAGAGUGUGCUCCAAGAACAUAAAACCCCCUUUCCAUCUUUCUCCCGAACCUCAGCCUCAUACCCAGCUCCAAGGAGAAUGGCCACCUUCUGCCUGCAGCCCUGGGGACACCCUGUACGCCUCAGUCUGUCAGUCCUGUUGGGAUCUGCUGCCAGGUUCUGCCUGCUCUCAUGUGUUACACUAACCACAGCUGCAGAAGACCAAGCACUCUGGGAUCCUCAUGGGUGGAAAUGGCAGCAGAAAUGCAUUUCUCUGUUUUGUCUCUAUGAUGAUGAAAGGUCCUGGUCUGGCAGGAGCCAGGACCAAAGCCCUUUGUUGCUCUUUCUCUGGAGCUGGAGGAUUACCCUGCCCAGAAAUACCCCCUUGCAUUCUUCACUCUUGUGCAGGGAUCAAUGGCAGAUGAGGAAGACACGUUUACCCUCCACUGUCUUGGCUGGGAGAGGACAUGAGAAGCUCAUGGCACCACUGCCUCUGAGCUUGAUGUGCUCUGUCCCAUCCGUGGUGCCUCCUGCUCCCAGCCUGGGCAGCAGGCUCCUGUUGCACCGCACGCCACACUUGUCUCCUGUGGUAAAUUGAGAGCCCCAGGGGAUCUGGUAUUGUGCUUUUAUUUUUCCCCAGGUAUUUUUGUCUAUGAACCACAGAAAACUGAAUAGCAGGAAAUGAAGUGCAGAUUGGGAACAUGGUUGAGUACACUUUCUAAAAUAAAACAUUGAGGGGAGGGAGAGAUUCUUUUACAACAGAAAAUGAAGUGUGUUUACUCUUUAUUGAUGGAGUAUUUAAUUGUGGUGAGGCUUUGAGAGAUGUUCCUGGUGGCACCUCAGGCUGUGCAUUGUCUCGAAAUGCCACUUGGUCUUUGGUACAAGCACCUUGCUGGGUCAAACUCACCUCUUUGUGUUGCAAGGGGAUGUCAGGAAUGUCUAGUGAUCUCUGACAUGCCACAGUGCCAGGAGGACAAAGAACCCCACUGGUAUCUUCUUAAAGUGGACUAGAUACUAAAAGGACCUGAAGGUUUAUGGAGUAGAUGCAUUUGACAGCAGAAAAGAAAGUCUCUGCCCAUUGACCCUGCCCAGUGUGCUUUGAAAUUGGCUGGGCAGGCUUUACCCAAGCACUGGUUUUGGUCUCUGUGGUCUGUUCAGCCUUUAGACUCCAUACAGAGCGCGCCAGCAAAGCAAGCCACACCAGAGAACAUCUGCUGAGCUGGUGCAAGGUACGCACGCACCUGAGCUGGUGCUGAAGUGCCCUGCUGAGGAAGGCAGGGCAGCUCGGAUGCUGUCCCCACGCUGCCGUGGCUGUGCUCUUUCUGGGCUGCUUCCUGGAGCUGACGUGCUGACCUCUGCACGGCAUCGCGUUGUGUCAUGGAGCUGUGCCACCGAGCCUCGGAGCCUGCUCGGAGCUCUCUCUUGUGCCUCUUUCUUAAGCAGGGCAAAUAGCACAAGGGAGUGCAGGGUGUGGAGAUAAGGCUGUGACCUUUUAGAUCAUUCUGUUGCUUUACUACAAAUGCUGAUGGGUCCAGCCAGGCAGCUGGGUUCUUUUGUGAGAUUAAAUUAAUCUCAUUAAUUCAAAUGUCUAAAAGUAGCAGCCUUUAGUCAGCAGUGACCUGCACUGCUUCUUGUGCCGGGGGGUAGAUCUUUAGAGUCCAUCUCCCAUUGCUGGAGCUGUCCUGCUGUCCCUGUGUUUCUGAAUCACUGUCUGAAACAUUGUGCUUUUGCGUUUGGUUUUUUGUCCAGUGAAGGAUUAUGAGGCUUCACAAGCAGAGAAGACCAAGAUGCAUGGAGUCUCCACGACAGGUUCCCUGAGCUGGAGUUUCACAAUGAGGAUGUUCCUGGAGCAUCUCAGGACAGCCUGCUCCAGGGGGUGCAUCCCUCCAAGGGAGAUGGAGAGGGAAGUGCCAAAGAUGCCAACGGGUCCAGCUCUGCACCAGGAAAGCCUGAAGAGCCCCGAUUCAGCCAAAGCCCAGUCAUCGCUCACCUCCGAGCACCCCAACAGGCCUGGGAGGAGACGGCGCAUCCCUGGAGCGAGCGGUUAAGUGCUUUGCUGAACCAGGGCCAAGGUCCAGCACGGAGCCACCCAGCUCCCGCCGGCUCCCUCGUUGGCGCCGCACCGUGGAGUCAGGCCUGGGCUCGCACUGGAGGACGUUAUGAAAUCCUGGCCCUGACAGAGAGCAGAUGCAUCAUUGGGAAGCCCUCGGGUCAUGAGAGGGCUAAUAGUCACAUUCCUGGCUGGGAUGGCGAAAGAUUUACGCCGGGCGCUUGCUCGCCUCGCCCUGCACCAGGCCGGCUCCCUGCUUCACCGGCCCCCUCGGCUUUAAUUGUUGUGUUAAUGGCCCUUUUAUUUGAAGCAGAUCCCCUGGCUUACAGAGGAGAAUGUCAUUAUGUCGUAUUUUAGAUGUAUUUACAUUCUCCUUGCCACAGGGAUAACGUUCUAAUUAUUUUCUAUAGCUGACAGCACCAGUGUCUCUGGUAUUAGGGACCCCUUAGACCUGAUUACAUGGUCUGUUUUUCUUCAAGUCACCCACAAAUGACAGUGUGGAGCAGGUUUAUUAUCAAUUGACGUACCUUUGCUUAACUCAACUCGCUCCCGAAACAAAUGUCCUGGAAAGAUAAUGCAUGUUUAGUGCAUGUGUCUUCGUUUGCGUGAAGGCAGAUGGGCUUAGGAGGUCAAGCCAACAGUUGACCUCUCCUGACUCCUCAGGCUUCAAAUGGUGGAGAAUGACAGCAUGGGAAGGGGAUGGAGGCUCAGGGGGAAAGGGGGGAGAAGUGGAGAAUGCUAGCUUAGUUUUGCAUGGAGGUGUAGAGAGGUAUUGGAGUCUGGUUGAGAUGGUGGGAUUGUACCUGUGCCAGAAGUUGUUUUCAAGGGAGAAGAGAAGGCAGAGCUCCUCGCUGGAGAUGGCUGUGCAACAUGCAGUGGACUUGAUGGACAGGGUGGUGAGAGGAGACGCCUGGCAGCAGGGUGUGUGGGGCUGGUGGAUGGAGCUUGGGAACUGCAUGGAGAAAAGAACUGCCUGAGAAGCCAAGAAAGGAGAAGCCUGACAAGCUUGACAAGAGAAGGUGGGAUGGGACCCAUCGCAGAGCUAGAGACAAGAGCAGAGAAGGUGGCUUUAGAGCAAGGGGUGAUGCCAGGGAGGUGCGGGAGCACAACACAGAAGUUAUAACAGCAAGUGAGAUAAGGAGAGUGAGAGACACAAUUAUUAGAACAGAAUGAUUUGAUUUAUCCCAAGUCAUUUAUUCACCAAAUUUCUCCCCUGAGAUCUUCAAUGGACUGAAGUGGUUUCAAAUGUUGUCAUUAUUUAGAACAAUUCAACAAAAUGUUUGUUGCUUUGAAAAGCAAAAGGGAGGGGCGAGGGAUGGAGAAAAGAAAGAAAGAAAGGAAAAAUAAAAGCCUGGAUGGUCUGGUUUGCCACAUUUGAAUUUUAUUGCCGACUUGGAAUGGGUCAAGAAAAAUCACUCUUUCUGUUCUCUGAGCGGGAGUUUCACUUACAAAGCCACUUCUGAUGUGAGCGCUUCCCCAAGCUCAGAUCCAGGCUCCGUGUGUAUUCAAACAUGAAACGACAAAAAGGCAGUAUUCGUGCUGGUGAAACCCUGUCGAGGAAAUGUUUGUGCACCAGGACAAUUUCAUUACAAAACUCAGGCGCGUCUUCGUGGAGUCUCUUUGCCUGGCAGCUCUACAGAUUAUUUCAUACUCAGCCCUGCUGGGCACCAAGGCACUUUACAAACAAAUAGAAAGGCAAAGACGCUGCCCCGAGGGAGUUACAUUCUAAGUCAGACCAAAGCAGAGUGAGAAUGCUGGCUGCAGGGUUUACACAGCAGAAGGUGGGCACUUUUGUUUGGAAAGGCAAGGAUCUCACUAAGUUUUUCUUGUGUGUGUGCGUGACUUCUGGAGCACUUUUAGCCACGGCUUAAAAGGAAUAGGUCUCCACAAGGUUCAGUGAAAGGUGGCAGGAGAGUAGAGGUCUCAAAGGUACUGUAUUCCUGUUUUGUUUCCUUAGAAUAAAAGCUGGGUGGAGGAGAGGCAACCAAACCAUUAUUUCAAUUGAAAGAAAAGCUCCUACGUGUUCAGAAGUAGCACUGCUGUCUUCCAAAAAUCCAAGAGGAAAAGAAGGGAGAAAUGUUUUCUAGCAGCCAUUGUGGCUAUAGCCAUUGGUGAAGUUGCCAUCACAGCGUGUACAGAAGAGUUGUACCUGUUAAGAGACAGGACAAUUUAACCAUGGGAACACAACAUCCAGGAAAACAGGAUCCUUAUUUUCACCUCUCUUGAAGUUACCUUGUUUGUUUUUAAUUUACUCAUAUGCAUUUGGUGGGUGGCAGCUUGGGGAUGCUGCUUUCAGCUCCAAGAGGCACGAAUGAGAACAGCAUCUCCUGCCUCUGCUGGAGAGCAUUUUUGGGGUGGAGGUGCUGAUGGGUCACAUCCAGUUGGUCACUGUGCAAAUGGAAGCUAAAGAGAGGAUGAGUUACAGUUUUCUUACUGCUGUUUUUAGGUUGGACUGAAUAAUAGAACUGAGUAUCUGCUGCCUUGUUUGGUCAAUUUGUUGGCCUCAGUACAGGAUGAGGAAUGACAAAAUGUGGGACUGCUUCUGUACCAAUGUCAUUUUGUGGAGUUUCACUUGAGAAUAUUCAAGUAUGUGUGUCCUGUGCAGAUCUGCUGCCCUGUGAACGUCUGAGCUGUAAUGAGGUGAAUGCUACUGGAAAGCAAACAUUUAAUUAGCUCUGCUGUUUCAAUACUUUCCUAAAAUGCAUUCCAAAUCAUACACAUAGUUGUGAAAUCAGUCAUUGAUGCUGCGUUUGAUGGUUCCAGCACUUGUGUGGGUUUCUUUACCUUUUUUCUGAGGAGCCCCAGAUCAGAUGACUUCAUUUUCAGAACACAGCACAAAAGAAUAAAUUGCAAGUACUCUGUGAAUUAUUAAAGGAGAAUAUUAUCAGUAACACAGAAGAGGAAAUCUGUCUAGAAUUUUGUGUCAUGUUGGCUAAUUGUCCAGCAGCAGAAAGGAAAAGAAAGGCUAAACCAAUUAGUUCAGCUUGUUUAUUGAAAUCGGUUGGUUUUUUUUUCUGAUACCUUUUGGGUACUUGUGCUUGGCAAAGCAAGUGGUUGUGUGGAGGAGCAUAGCAGGGAUUUGGGAGUUGUGUUUGUUUUCUAAACUAAAAGCGAUUGGGUUGCAGCACUGAUUGAUAGAAAGGCCAUGUAAUAUGCUUCUGCAAGUAUGCAAAAUACUUUUCUCUGAGUCCCAAAUGUACCAACACAGUGCUCUUCUGAAGGUGUCAAUAUGCAGCACAGCAGGGAGAGAAGAGGGGCUAUAGUUUUGCCAGAAGCUCUUCAAUACUCUGGACGUGCACACUAAGACAUGCAGGAGCAAGGCUCUAGAAAAUGUUAGGGUCCAUAAAUCACUUCUGGUGGAGCCCAGGAGUGAGAGCACCAGCAGGAGCUGUGGUGUGGACAGACUUGGGGCACGAUGCCUCCACCAUAUAGGGAAUCCCUUUCCAUGCGGUAGGCACCACCAUCGUUAUCUCUGCUCCAGUGGGGUCUUGGCUGGUGGAGAUUCCCAAGUCACACCUCUGCACAGAGCUCACUUAAUCUUCAUCAGGAGGUCGAAGGCUGAGUCAGCCCUGCUGGGAUUUGCACCGGUGGUUCCAGGAAGUCUGGGUAUUUCAAACCUUAGGCUUAGACCUCUAAUCAUCCCCUUAUCUCAACUGCCUAACAUCUGAGUCUGCAAAAUUGGGGUGGAAAUCUCACACAAACAUGCUUUCCCCAGCGGCAUUUCUGCAUUUGUUUGCCAGGGGAGCCCAGGACCAGCGAAUGGCACAGAGGAUUCAGCUUUGAAACCAAAGGUUUAAUCUAAGUGUUGCAUGGAAGGCCUGGUCCUUUCUUGAUUGAUGGCUUGCUUACUGUUUGCUGACAGCUGGAGACACUCACCCUUUGGGGCAGAAACCCAGAGUUAACACUCAGAGAAGCAAGUGUUGA